AUACUUACCUGGCAGGGGAGAUACCAUGAUCACGAAGGUGGUUUUCCCAGGGUGAGGUUUAUCCAUUGCACUCCGGAUGUGCCGACCCCUGCAAUGUCCCCAAAUGUGGAAAACUUGACUGCAUGAUUUGUGCUAAUGGGGGACUGUGUUCACACUCCCCCA
rnacentral:snRNA from 1 species